UUGACCUCGGAUCAGGUAGGAAUACCCGCUGAACUUAAGCAUAUCAAUAAGCGGAGGAAAAGAAACCAACAGGGAUUGCCCUAGUAACGGCGAGUGAAGCGGCAACAGCUCAAAUUUGAAAUCUGGCUCUCGGGCCCGAGUUGUAAUUUGUAGAGGAUACUUUUGAUGCGGUGCCUUCCGAGUUCCCUGGAACGGGACGCCAUAGAGGGUGAGAGCCCCGUCUGGUUGGAUGCCAAAUCUCUGUAAAGUUCCUUCAACGAGUCGAGUAGUUUGGGAAUGCUGCUCUAAAUGGGAGGUAUAUGUCUUCUAAAGCUAAAUACCGGCCAGAGACCGAUAGCGCACAAGUAGAGUGAUCGAAAGAUGAAAAGCACUUUGAAAAGAGAGUUAAAAAGUACGUGAAAUUGUUGAAAGGGAAGCGUUUAUGACCAGACUUGGGCUUGGUUAAUCAUCUGGGGUUCUCCCCAGUGCACUUUUCCAGUCCAGGCCAGCAUCAGUUUUCCCCGGGGGAUAAAGGCGGCGGGAAUGUGGCUCUCUUCGGGGAGUGUUAUAGCCCACCGUGUAAUACCCUGGGGGGGACUGAGGUUCGCGCAUCUGCAAGG
rnacentral:rRNA from 1 species